rnacentral:rRNA from 1 species
GGGGAAUCUUCCGCAAUGGGCGAAAGCCUGACGGAGCAACGCCGCGUGAGUGAAGACGGCCUUCGGGUUGUAAAGCUCUGUUAUACGGGACGAAUAAUCUUGUGGUUAAUACCCAUGAGAAGUGACGGUACCGUAAGAGAAAGCCACGGCUAACUACGUGCCAGCAGCCGCGGUAAUACGUAGGUGGCAAGUGUUGUCCGGAAUUAUUGGGCGUAAAGGGCGCGCAGGCGGCUUCUUAAGUCUGUCUUAAAAGUGCGGGGCUUAACCCCGUGAUGGGAUGGAAACUGGGAAGCUCAGAGUAUCGGAGAGGAAAGCGGAAUUCCUAGUGUAGCGGUGAAAUGCGUAGAUAUUAGGAGGAACACCAGUGGCGAAAGCGGCUUUCUGGACGAAAACUGACGCUGAGGCGCGAAAGCCAGGGGAGCGAACGGGAUUAGAUACCCCGGUAGUCCUGGCCGUAAACGAUGGGUACUAGGUGUAGGAGGUAUCGACCCCUUCUGUGCCGGAGUUAACGCAAUAAGUACCCCGCCUGGGGAGUACGGCCGCAAGGUUG